rnacentral:rRNA from 1 species
CACGGGGGGAGCAAGCGUUGUUCGGAAUCACUGGGCGUAAAGGGCGUGUAGGCGGUCAAGUAAGUGGAACGUGAAAUCCCUCGGCUCACCCGAGGACCUGCGUCCCAAACUGCUUGGCUUGAGUAUGGGAGAGGAUGAGGGAAUUCCUGGUGUAGCGGUGAAAUGCGUAGAUAUCAGGAGGAACACCGGUGGCGAAGGCGCUCAUCUGGCCCAAUACUGACGCUGAGGCGCGAAAGCUAGGGGAGCAAACGGG